rnacentral:rRNA from 1 species
UGGGGAAUAUUGGACAAUGGGGGGAACCCUGAUCCAGCCAUGCCGCGUGUGUGAAGAAGGCCUUAUGGUUGUAAAGCACUUUAAGCGAGGAGGAGGGUACUGGUAUUAAUACUACCAGCUACUGGACGUUACUCGCAGAAUAAGCACCGGCUAACUCUGUGCCAGCAGCCGCGGUAAUACAGAGGGUGCGAGCGUUAAUCGGAUUUACUGGGCGUAAAGCGUGCGUAGGCGGCUAAUUGAGUUGGAUGUGAAAUCCCCGAGCUUAACUUGGGGAUUGCAUUCGAGAAUGGGUAGGUAGAGUGUGGGAGAGGAUGGUAGAAUUCCAGGUGUAGCGGUGAAAUGCGUAGAGAUCUGGAGGAAUACCGAUGGCGAAAGCAGCCAUCUGGCCUAACACUGACGCUGAGGUACGAAAGCAUGGGGAGCAAACAGG